GUAGUAAGCAGAAUGGUGAGACCAAUGUGAAGGUGAUUGACAAAAAUGGUGGCUUGAGAGUGGAUGAGGAUAAAGUUGAUAGUAGCAAAGAGACUGAUUUAGGCGAUCGCUGUGUAAAAUGGUUUAAGGGUAAGCAGAAAACCAUCAGAAACUCCCGAGAAGAGCCACCACUAAAGAAGAACAAGUUGGAGGAGAAAAAUGGUAAUCAGAAUGAUGAGCCCAACGACAACGAAGGAGUCAGAGUAAAUAAAGUAAUAACCCUCUUUUGUCUGGCGGUUUGAAAGAGUUCCCGGAAGAACGUGCUAGGCUUGCAGAUGGAAAAGAAGUCCAUCAGGUUGAUUAUAUGUCACCUAAACCUUGGUAUCAUGAGAGAAUUGUGAAACCUCUCGGACCUUAUCUUACAUGGUAGUGUGCUAACUGAAGAAGACAGCUGAUGAUAAUGUAGAUUUUUUAAAUAUUCCUCCCUGAAUGUUUCAGAAAAAUUUAAAAGAAAUUCAUAGAAUUGUAAAAAGUCUCCUUAUAUGUUUUGAUUUUUUAGAAAACAAAAGCAAGUAUAAGCUGUAUUAAUAAUGUAAGUAACUUUUGCUAAAGAAUGCAAGUAAUUUUUGCUAAAGAAGCAACUUUGAUGCGAA